GCAGACCCUACGAUUCCUCUAUAUUCUCUCUUCCUCUUUAGUGAAACCCUAGGCGUUUCUCUCUCCUCUACGAGCCAAAAAUGGAAAAUUCUCAGAGGCAACAGGCGUGGACAGGCUUUGUACUACCCUGGCAUGGAGCAUUAAAUGCUCCUCAUGCCGUUUUCAUCUUUGUUUCCCCCAAACACGGGGAAGGGGAAGGGGAAAUGGGGAAGGAGAUUACAACAUGGGGAUUCGAACCCUCACCAACAAAGUGAAAGUUCAGGUAUCCAACCAACUGAGCUACUAGAUCCCUACCCAUUCUUGUACACGGCUGUCCAUCAAAAGGCCGAGGUCCAGCCAUUUGGCCCAGUAGGAUAAUUCUUUCAAAAUCCCUGUCGAGUCCGAGAAGAAAAAAUGGAAGCUAAUGUAUAUUGAAGGCCUAGUCAUGGGUGAAAAUGACAUGAAGGCCCAACCAUGGGUGAAAAUGGUUAACGGGUUUGGAACACCCCAAACUAAUCCUUCCUCCUUUAUUUAUGUUAAUUUUAUGAUUGUAUUGUGUUUGUAUGUGUAAAACUCACAUUAUUAUUGGAAACAAGCAUGGUUAGAAUUAGA